UGGACAUAAGAGCUCCAAAACGGUGAUUCUGUCCUGCUUUGUGCUGACAUAUGGAGACUGUGGACACACAGUGAGAUGGCUGCAUCAGGACAAUGAUGUGGGUAAAGAUCACAAGGACAUGAGGACAUCCCAGUCAGAUUGCUCUGCUACAAUAUCCUUCGAGAUCUCUUAUUAUCAAGAGAAGCCUGGAUAUUUAGCAUUGUUCAAAUGUGAAGUGACAAGUCAAAACAACGAUGAAGUUCAGCUUUGUAACUUCACCCCUUUGUCAUCGUGUAAGAAAGCAGGUGGGAACCCAUCAAAAACUUCAGGAGAAUUAAAAACAACCACAUCGCCCACAAUCACCUCAACAACACAAGAAGCUCAUAUAGAUUGUUCUUUUCUGAACUACAUCAUGUUGGUGAUGCGUGUCGCUGAACUCCUCCUAAUUACUGUGAUCACUGUUGUUGUCAUCAGAGCUCGAGGUGAGAAAAUUUAAACCAGCAUUUGUUAAUGAGGAUUAGCACAAACUAAUUUUACUCUAUGAAAUAUUUUCCAGGGAACAAGAGGCCGCCUGAUGCCAUUAUUGUACAAGAUGAUGGUGCAGUGAACUAUGAAAACUUGGGAGGCACUUUUGCUUCUGUUAAGGUCCACUGAUCAACAACCACCACAUCGGCUCACAGAAAGAGAAAAGAAAAGAAGCCUUUUGUAACAGUAGCUGUUUGUUUUGUGUUGAAACUCUGGCUGUUUUUAAAUGUGUGGCUUUGCCUGAAUUUAUAAUCUCUUUGUGUACAUAUCAAAUUUAAUACUUUUUACAUAGCAUGAAUUUUCAACUUCAGAGUUCCUUUAUUAAUACUGAUAUUUAUAUAUCAAGAAUAGAAUAGUAACAUUUCAUCACCUGUGUU